UCGGACACAGUGCACGGUGCACACCCGCUCCUCAUUCUGAGAAAAUGAAGCCAGGGAUGCGGGGCUUCUGGGUUCGACUCCCAGUGUCCGAA